rnacentral:lncRNA from 1 species
UAUAUAUAGAGCUAGGCUGGUAUACUAUCGGUAGCACGGAGGCCUCCGUGCUACCAAGUUGUUUUCGAUGAUGCGGCUUUCAAAACGACGAUCGGCUCCGUUAGACUUGAUCUAUACUAUUAAAAGUAUUUGGAAACUAAAUUUCAUAAUUUUGCGACAUCAUUUGGCUAGUGAUCAAAAGGUUCCAAAAUUAACAAUUUUAAUGGUAGAUAUGAUGCGUUUUUAAGUUCAACGGUGUAGAAGUAUCCAAAUUAGAUGAAAAUUUAAUAAAAAAUUCUACUUAAUAUCAAUAGCAAGACCAAUACUUCCGAUUUAAAAUUUGAAUUCUUUAUCACUGUUUUUUAUGAGAUUUUCAUUUUCAGCCGUUCAUUUUUAGACUACUCGUUUGAUAGGUAAAUGAUGCCGAAAAAUUAUGAAAUUUAGUUUCCAAAUACUUUUAAUAGUGUAGAUCAAGUCUAACGGAACCGAUCGUUGAUUUAGAAGCCACAUCAUUAAAAACAACUUGGUAGCACGAAAGCCUCUGUGCUACCGAUAGUAUACCAGCCUAGCUCUAUAUAUAUAUAUAUAUAUAUAUAUAUAUAUAUAUAAUUGAACUCCUAUGCUUUUAAAAGUAGCAAGACAUUGGUACUUAUAGAUUUUUAGUCAUUGGAUUAAGAGAUAUGCAGUUAGGAUGAUGUGGGCCCCCUAGGGUUGAGUGGUUGGUUGGUUAAAUAGUAUAAUCUAAUGGUUGAAAAUGAUCCGUGGAGUAAAUUUAACGAUAAAAAACUUACAAGCACCAAGUGCUUGGUGCUUUUACAAGCACCAUAGCUGGACUCUAUAUAUAUAUAUAUAUAUAUAUAGAGCUAGGCUGGUAUACUAUCGGUAGCACGGAGGCCUCCGUGCUACCAAGUUGUUUUCAAUGAUGCGGCUUCCGAAUCGACGAUUGGCUCCGUUAGACUUGAUCUACACUAUUAAAAGUAUUUAGAAACUAAAUUUCAUAAUUUGUCGACAUCAUUUGCCUGUGAUCAAAAGGUCUCAAAAUUGACAAUUUUAAUGAUAGAUGUGAUGCGUUUGUGAAUUUAACGGUGUAAAACAAUCCAAAUCUGAUGAAAUUUUUAUAGAAAUUUUUUUUACUAUUUAGAGUAAGAUCAGUGCCUAUGAUCUUAAAUUCAAGUCUUUUAUCAUCAUUUUUUAUGAAAUUUUUAUUUUCAGCCGUUCAUUUUUAGACUACUCGUUUGAUAGGUAAAUGAUACCGAAAAAUUAUGAAAUUUAGUUUUCAAAUACUUUCAAUAGUGUAGAUCAAGUCUAACGGAGCCGAUCGUUGAUUUGGAAGCCGUAUCAUCGAAAACAACUUGGUAGCACGGAGCCCUCCGUGCUACCAAUAGUAUAGUAGUCUAGUUCUAUAUAUAUAUAUAUAUAUAUAUAGUCCGGCUACUAUGCUAUUAAUAGCACGAAGCACUUGGUGCUACAAAGUUUUCCAUCGUUAGAUCUACCCUUUUGAUCAUUCAUUUUCAUCUGUUAGAUCAUACUAUUCAACCAACCACCCAUCAACCCUAAGGGGCCUACAUCAUCCU